GCAGGGACAAGGAUAGGACUGAAGAUAACAAGAAGUGGUGUUGCAAUGAUCAAACCUAUGACAGUUCCAGUGAGGAUCAACCCAGACAGGAUCAAGAAUGAGACACCAAUGGCUGAUGCUGUCAUGAACUUGAUGGCUUGGCGUAUAGGUUGGUUAGUACUGGGGUCAUAGGAGGUUCCAUAAGAUGAACCAUAGGUGCCUCCUCCACCAUAGGAUGAUCCAUAGGACCCUCCUCCUCCAUAGCCUGUCCUUGUUUGAUCAGACAUAAUGGUAAAUGGGUUUUGGUGGCUGGUGACUUUUGAGAAUUUUUAGACAAGAAGUGAUGGGGUUUGAGGAAGAGUGAGAGAGAAGUGAAGGGAAUGUAUA
rnacentral:lncRNA from 1 species